rnacentral:rRNA from 1 species
ACCUUAAAUUAAUUUAAGUCUAGCCUGCCCACUGAAAAUUUUAAAUGGCCGCAGUAUUCUGACUGUGCAAAGGUAGCAUAAUCAUUAGUUUUUUAAUUAAAAGCUCGUAUGAAAGGUUGGACGAGGUAAGAUCUGUCUCUAUUUAAUUUAAAUUAGAAUUUAAUUUUUAAGUUAAAAAGCUUAAAUAUUAAUAAAAGACGAGAAGACCCUAUAGAGCUUUAUAUUUAUUGUAAUAUAAUAUAUUUUGAUUUAUUUAAGUUUUAUUAUAAUAAUUAUUUUAUUGGGGUAAUAAAAAGAUUAAAAUAAUUCUUUUAAUUUAUUAACAUUAAUUUAUGAAAAUUUAAUGAUCCAGUUUUAUUGAUUAAUAGAUUAAGUUACCUUAGGGAUAACAGCGUAAUUUUUUUGAAGAGUUCAUAUCGAUAAAAAAGUUUGCGACCUCGAUGUUGGAUUAAAGAUUAGUUUAGGUGUAGAAGUUUAAAUUUUUGGUCUGUUCGACCAUUAAAUCUUUACGUGAUCUGAUUUUCAGACCGGGA